AAAAUGUUUAUUAAACAAAUAGUUUCAAUUCAAUUUUUAUUUUUUUAUUUGUUAAUAAAAAGCUUAGUAUAUUAUCUAAGAAAACAUUGAUCUAAAGUUCAUAAAUUUCGCUCAUAAUAUCCGUUAAUUUUAGAAAGCCAUAUGAAAAACGUGCAUUCUAACGUUUUUAUUUUGGAUAACGUCUUCCAGUGUGUAACGUUAGGUGACACCAGUAUCUUGCGACGUUUC
rnacentral:lncRNA from 1 species